AGCGAACGCUGGCGGUAGGCCUAACACAUGCAAGUCGAACGGCAGCACAGUAAGAGCUUGCUCUUACGGGUGGCGAGUGGCGGACGGGUGAGGAAUACAUCGGAAUCUACUUUUUCGUGGGGGAUAACGUAGGGAAACUUACGCUAAUACCGCAUACGACCUACGGGUGAAAGCAGGGGAUCUUCGGACCUUGCGCGAUUGAAUGAGCCGAUGUCGGAUUAGCUAGUUGGCGGGGUAAAGGCCCACCAAGGCGACGAUCCGUAGCUGGUCUGAGAGGAUGAUCAGCCAAAAUGGAAAUGAGACACGGUCCAGACUCCUACGGGAGGCAGCAGUGGGGAAUAUUGGACAAUGGGCGCAAGCCUGAUCCAGCCAUACCGCGUGGGUGAAGAAGGCCUUCGGGUUGUAAAGCCCUUUUGUUGGGAAAGAAAAGCAGCAGGUUAAUACCCCGCUGUUCUGACGGUACCCAAAGAAUAAGCACCGGCUAACUUCGUG
rnacentral:rRNA from 1 species